CUCUCUUCCUAUCUUUCUCUCUGCUCCUGGAUCUCUCUCAUCCGUCUCAGUAUGCGUAGCACGCAAAACGCCGUCGUUUUGUUGGAAUGCCCUAGCCAAUUACCCAACCCAGCAACCUUAGCUCCACACAACGGCGCGAACCCAUCCCUCCUAUCACCCUCGAGCUCCUCCUUCCUCUCUCCGUCAUCGAUCUCACUCCCUCACCUCCGUCCAUCUGCCGCCGCCGUCGCCGAAACGAGCUUCGAAGCCACCGUCGGUAUCGUGCACCAUCGUGCAGCUAUUGUUUCGGCUUUGAAAGCACCGUCGCGCAGCUCGGUUCCAUCGUCGCCGGGCUCGCCUACUUUUUCUGUCGAGCAGAUCUGUUCUAUCGUCGCCGGCGCUAUCUCUGUUCCACCUGUCAUCCCUUCGGUUGUGCCCUUGUCCCCCUCUUGCUCAGGAUCUCUUCUGCUCUGUUCUAGGGCUUCUAGCUUCUAGGCAUUUGCUCAGUUACUACGAGCUCCUCAUGAUGAUGCAGAGUCGAUAAUAAAGGAAAGGUUUCCCAUACCUCGCCUAGUUGUUUGCGAUCAGCAUGGUUCCCAGGCUACUGUAUAUUUGUUGAUGCUGAGCAUGCUCUCGAUAAGGCACUUGCAGAAUCCAUUGGUGUGAAUACUGAAAACUUGUUGCUUUCUGUUAGAGACUUGGGUAUUAUGGGUGCUCAAAGUCCCACAUCGAGUAGUAUGGGAUGCUUGAUGUUGUACAUAAGGAGAGUGGUUCUUCUUCCUUAACAGCUAGCUUUAAGGUGUGGUUUCCCAAUUUUCUUAGAUACUUAACACUUUCACAACCAGAUUGUGGUGAACAAGCACUUAGUCUUGUGGAUACCUUAAUCCGUAGUGGUUCAGUUGACGUAAUUGUUGUUGACAGUGUAAGUAUGCAGCUCCCGUAGUGGUGGCUGCACUUAAGUCCUUAUCUAUUAUAGGAUUUGCCAAAUCAGUAUAAGAACUAGAAAAUUUUCACCAAUAGAAUGUGAUUUUAGCCAGUAUUAUCAUUUAGUUCUACUUAGUUAUGGUAAUAACUCAAAAUAGCCUUCUUAUAAAAAGAUUCAUCAGCACUAGAAAUUUUUUGAUUGAUUCUGUUUUUAUUCAUGUUCAAAGAUAUAUGCUUCUACUUGUAUUAUAUAGCAUUUCUGCUACUUAAAAGCACAUAUUGCUGAUUUUCUUCUAGCAGUAGUUUUCAUUGCAUUGCACACAACUUUGACAAAACAAUACAAGAUUUUCUGCAUUAGGUUAAAAAAUAAAAGAGUUUAUUUAUUAUAUUUAUGUUUAUUAUGAAUUUUUUAUUUAUAAAUUAUUUUAUUUUAAAUAUUUUAUUUGUUGUUGUGUUUUUGCUGGUUUUUAUUUUUGCUGAUUGUUGCUCUUGUUUUUAAUUUAUUUGAGUCUAAUUGAGUACAUCUUGUUAUGGUAUGAAUUGCUAGUUGCUGGUAUUUGACAAGUAUGGAGCUUUCAGGAUCUUUGUCUCCUUUUGUUGCCAAUAUGACAGCUCUGGCUAGGAAACAUGCAAUGAGUUGACACUGUACUUGGUCAAUGGUCAGUUUAGUUUUGUUCAAAUAAUUUGUCGUCAUAAAUUAGCUUUUAUUCUUCACGUUGGGUUAUUAAUUUGCGUUUUCUCUGAGAACUAUAUAUGCAGCUUCAGUGUGGUGUCUAGAUGAAGGUGCCAAGAUCCUCGAGUGUCAGAAGAAAAAGGGCCAGCUUGUGUUUCCCAUAUUCUUCUACAAAUAGAGCCAUCGGAUGUACGGCGUCAGAGAAAUAGUUAUAAACUUGCCAUGGCUGUUACUCUGAGAAGUGCAGAGGUGUUACAUACAUAGAUUAAAUGAACCAAUAUGUAUUAGAGACUCUGAGAAGCAUAUAUAGACUCUGACAUAGAUUAAGUGGGCAGUAAAUUUUGCUCAUAGAGACUGACAUAGAUUUGUUGAGACAAAUUUUGUAAAGAAUGCUCUUUCUUUUUGUUUUGAAGAUUGUCCAUUUUGCUCUCUUCCUUAUAUUAUUCCUUUGAAAGUGUAAAAAUUUUAGAUGAAUGAAAGAAAGUUAUUGCAUCUCAUUUGUUGACUAAUUUUAUUUUUGGC